GAGGAACUACUGUCUUCACGCAGAAAGCGUCUAGCCAUGGCGUUAGUAUGAGUGUCGUGCAGCCUCCAGGACCCCCCCUCCCGGGAGAGCCAUAGUGGUCUGCGGAACCGGUGAGUACACCGGAAUUGCCAGGACGACCGGGUCCUUUCUUGGAUCAACCCGCUCAAUGCCUGGAGAUUUGGGCGUGCCCCCGCGAGACUGCUAGCCGAGUAGUGUUGGGUCGCGAAAGGCCUUGUGGUACUGCCUGAUAGGGUGCUUGCGAGUGCCCCGGGAGGU
rnacentral:other from 1 species